UUCAGCUAUAAGCGUGAUGUAUCUAUUUCCUUAAGGCUUGGGUCCCAGAAGUAACUCAUUUUGUCAGCACACUUCCCAUUUCAUCUGACGCCAACUGUGUGUCGGGUCACAAAGGUUUAUCUCACUUGUCCAGCUGUGUGUCGGGUCACAAAGGUUUAUCUCACUUGUCCAACUGUGUGUCGGGUCACAAAGGUUUAUCUCACUUGUCCAGCUGUGUGUCGGGUCACAAAGGUUUAUCUUACUUGUCCAACUGUGUGUCGGGUCACAAAGGUUUAUCUUACUUGUCCAACUGUGUGUCGGGUCACAAAGGUUUAUCUCACGUGUCCAGCUAUAACCAUGUCCACCAAUGACAUCAGGUUGUGAAAAUGUCCUUGACCCUGUCCACUCGGCCAAAUUGUGACACUUGCAUUUGGCCAGUGUGGGGUAGUGGUGGGCGGUCAGGAGAUAGAGAUGAGACAGAUUGUAGUCAUGUUUCUGGGACUGUGCAAGCAGUAGUACAUUCCUCCAACAAAACUCUGUUGUGGCUACUAUUGUAUCCCUUGAGUUGCAAAGAGUUUGUGUUUCUCUACAAAGAUUCAAAGAGGGGAAACUCUUCCUGAUGGCUGUGAGGUGUGUGUGUUUGUGUUGUGACUCUCAGACUGGGGGGAGGGGAGAUGUGGGGACGGGAGUUUCUGUCAGGGAGACAUUUGCUUUUCUGUUUUUCCCUGAUUUACUCGACAUUAUUCCUAGUUUGGUAUUUCUGUUUUGGGUCUAAAACUAGAGUUUUCCGUCGAUUCCUAGUUGCCUUUAAGGCUGCAAUAGGGACAGCUGGUGCACUGAGUUAUGUCAAGAAUUGUCAUCUAACACAUUGUCGAGCUUUUGUGUUAUUCAUAAAAGAAUUACAUGAAAAGUAUGAGGCACCGUUGGUUUAGAACUGAAGUCUGUGGAAGAUAAGAAUACAUGUGAGUAGAAGGAAAGAUAUUGGAGAAAUGUUGUGUUUCUUCUGAAUGGGAACAUUGGAAUGUUCUUAAGUCAAGAAAGAAUUGAAAUUACUUGUCCAAAUGUACAAAUUAUCGUAGCUUGGG